rfam:Pseudoalteromonas sp. P1-25 AN393_contig000031, whole genome shotgun sequence.
GCAUUCAGAAGAGGUGCGAUACUUAGGUAUUUAAUGGUAGGUGACGAACGCCCAUAACCAUUAAAGAGGGAAGUACUCGCCGAGGAAAACAAAGUUACGUCGACAAUGUUUUUCGGUUUAUGGGGCUGAAUCCCCAAAACUGUCACCAACUUAGGUGGAGAGCUUCUGGCAGC